rnacentral:rRNA from 1 species
AUUGAACGCUGGCGGCAUGCUUUACACAUGCAAGUCGAACGGCAGCGGGGGCUUCGGCCUGCCGGCGAGUGGCGAACGGGUGAGUAAUGCAUCGGAACGUGCCCAUGUCGUGGGGGAUAACGUAGCGAAAGCUACGCUAAUACCGCAUACGCCCUGAGGGGGAAAGCGGGGGGAUUCUUCGGAACCUCGCGCGAUUGGAGCGGCCGAUGUCGGAUUAGCUAGUAGGUGAGGUAAAGGCUCACCUAGGCGACGAUCCGUAGCGGGUCUGAGAGGAUGAUCCGCCACACUGGGACUGAGACACGGCCCAGACUCCUACGGGAGGCAGCAGUGGGGAAUUUUGGACAAUGGGCGCAAGCCUGAUCCAGCCAUGCCGCGUGAGUGAAGAAGGCCU